rnacentral:rRNA from 1 species
UACGUAGGGGGCAAGCGUUGUCCGGAAUUAUUGGGCGUAAAGCGCGCGCAGGCGGCGACCGAAGUUUGGUGUUUAAGCCCAGGGCUCAACCCUGGUACGCACUGAAAACUGGGUCGCUUGAGUGCAGGAGAGGGGAGUGGAAUUCCAUGUGUAGCGGUGAAAUGCGUAGAGAUGUGGAGGAACACCAGUGGCGAAGGCGACUCUCUGGCCUGUAACUGACGCUGAGGCGCGAAAGCGUGGGGAGCAAACAGG